rnacentral:rRNA from 1 species
GAUGAACGCUAGCGGCAGGCUUAAUACAUGCAAGUCGAGGGACAGCAUGAUUGUAGCAAUACAAUUGAUGGCGACCGGCAAACGGGUGCGGAACACGUACACAACCUUCCAAUAAGUGGGGAAUAGCCCAGAGAAAUUUGGAUUAAUACCCCGUAACAUAACGAUGUGGCAUCACAUUGUUAUCAUAGAUUUUUCGCUUAUUGAUGGGUGUGCGGCUGAUUAGAUAGUUGGCGGGGUAACGGCCCACCAAGUCUACGAUCAGUAGCUGAUGUGAGAGCAUGAUCAGCCACACUGGGACUGAGACACGGCCCAGACUCCUACGGGAGGCAGCAGUGGGGAAUAUUGGACAAUGGGCGGAAGCCUGAUCCAGCCAUGCCGCGUGUGUGAAGAAGGCCUUUUGGUUGUAAAGCACUUUAAGCGAGGAGGAGGCUCUUAAGGUUAAUACCCUUGAUGAGUGGACGUUACUCGCAGAAUAAGCACCGGCUAACUCUGUGCCAGCCGCCGCCGUAAAAC